UGAUGAUGACAAGGGCAAUAUUAGAGCAUACUUUUAAAUCUCCCUAAAGCUUGGUAGAUAUUCUCUCUUUCUUUCUAUGUGAAAUUUGGAAUCUCACUUCUUAACUA